rnacentral:rRNA from 1 species
AUGGAAGAAGCUUCACUCUACAAGGAAAAGGAAUUCUCAAGCAAGCACAUGAAAUUUGCACUUAAGUAUUUGGAGCCAAACCUUGCGAGAUAUGUGAUGAAGUCACUAGACCAUCCCUACCAUGUGAGCCUGAGGCAAUACAAGGCUAGGCAUCAUUUGAGUUACCUCCAGAACUUGCCUACUAGGCACACUGCAAUUGAGAAGCUGGCACUUGCAGAAUUUCAGAUGAAGAAGUUGCAACAUCAGAGUGAAAUGCAAGAGGUUAAGAAAUGGUGGGUGGAUUUGGGAUUGUCUCAAGAAAUUCCAGCUGCAAGGGACCAAGUUCUGAAAUGGUACAUGUGGUCCAUGACUAUCCUUGAGGGUUUCUCCUUCUCAAGAUAUCGGGUUGAGGCCACAAAGGUUAUCUCAAUGGUCUACAUUGUGGAUGACAUCUUUGAUCUUGUCGCCACACAAGAGGAGCUCUCUCGCUUUAAUGAGGCGAUCAAAAUAGGUAUUAGGAUUGGUUUGACAUAA